AUUUAUUUUGAAGAGGAAAGUCCGGGCAUCACAGAGCAACAUACUUCCUAACGGGAAGGGUUUUGAGCAAUCGAAAUACAGAUAGUGCCGCAGAAAAUAACUACCUCGCUUGCGGGGGAAAGGUGAAAACGUGAGGUAAGAGCUCACGAAUUAUAUUGGUAACAGUAUAGUUGGGUAAACCUUAUGUGAUGAAAAACCAAAUAAACCAGAGCCUAAGAGCUGCUCGCUCGAUUCUGGAGGGUAGGUUGUUGGAGACUGCGAGUGAUUGCAGCCCUAGAUAAAUGAUAGACAUCUCACCUUGGUGGGUAAACAGGACCCGGCUUACAAAUCUUG
rnacentral:RNase_P_RNA from 1 species